UCGAGGGCUUUACUGUCUCUUACUUCCAAUCCGUGAAAUUGACCUUCCCGUGAAGAGGCGGGAAUAUGACAAUAAGACGAGAAGACCCUAUGGAGCUUUAAUUAACCGACCCAAAGAGAUCUUGAUAAUCAACCGACAGGGAUAACAUACCUCUACCAUGGGCCGACAAUUUAGGUUGGGGUGACCUCGGAGAAUAAAACAACCUCCGAGUGAUUUAAAUCUAGACUAACUAGUCGAAAGUACUACAUCACUUAUUGAUCCAAAAACUUGAUCAACGGAACAAGUUACCCUAGGGAUAACAGCGCAAUCCUAUUUUAGAGUCCAUAUCGACAAUAGGAUUG
rnacentral:rRNA from 1 species